UGAGCUCUGUAUGCAACACCCAUGGAGCAGGACGGAAAGUGGCUCUACUCUGGCUCCUCCUCCAGUGUAAAGCUUCUUCCAGGACCAAAGCUGCAUCAAGGCCCAGGAAAGGUACCCCGAAGACAGAUGGUGACUGAGUUCAGAGCAACUGCCUUAUGACAACCCUCAGCAAAGCUGCUUCCCACUGUGGUUUCACUCUGUUGGUGACAGCCAAGGCAAAAUCCCGAGACAUAUCAGGGAUACAGGCAUCAGUCAGCGCGUCAGCUGGGAGGAAGCAGCAAGGGCUGGCUGCUCCAUGAAGGAAGGUGAGUGGAGGGUAACAGAAGGCAGGAUGGGGUAGUGACCACAUUGGCAGAGGCACAGCCCCACGAUACCUAACCAAGAAGAACAGAGCAGGUCUGGUGAUGGGAAUCAGGUUCAGCCGACAGUCCAGUGAUUGCCAGGCAAGUCCACAGUGAUGAGACAGAUCCAAGGUCAACUCAGGGACUGAAGUGCACAGGCCAAGGUCCAUAUAAACAGGGUACAUGGCACAGGCAUGGCUACAACACAG